AAGAGUAAUUCUUUAGAUCUAUAGCAAAUGGGACCAUAUCAUACAUGGUGAUUCAACCAGUUAGCAAAUGAUAUCUGAAUGACACUUAGUGCCAUGUAUUUGGAUCAUUCAUCCAGUCUUUUAAUACGUAUGGACAGCAAUUCAAUUCAGUUCUAUUCAGUUUAAUCAUGUAUUUUUAUUCGGUAGUUUUAUGUAUUAACAGAAAGGGGAAAAGGAUAAGAUCACUUUGUUCGUAGAUUACCAAGAUUACUCGAAUUUUACAUCACCAAACUCUUAGAAACGAGUUGGACAACAACAGAUGAUGUCAACUCUGGGAGAUGUGCUGGUUUUUUUUGUUUUUUUUUAAUCUGCUUCCUGUUUACUCUCCUCUGUUAGCCAGCACAAGCAUUGGGAAACACCUACCACUUGGAUCCCUGGGAGAGGCAGGGAGUAGGGGAGAAGUCAGCAGCAGGUCUAUUGUCACCAGAGCCCCUUAGCAGGCCUUAUAUGGACAGACCCGCCCCUGAGAGAAAGCAGACAGGACAGACCCUGCAGGAAAUGUGGCAGGCUACCAAGGCGACAAAGUUCCUCCUUCACUCAAUGACUGUGUUGCUGAAAUCUGCUGAGGCGGUGCACAGUAGCGCAGUUAUGUCAUCGUUUUCAGGCCCGUCCCUUCACCAUAUUGGGCACACGAGUUCUCAAAAGCAACAAGAAACAGAAGAAGAAGAAGAAGAAGAAGAAGAAGAAGAAGAAGAAGAAGAAGAAGAAAAAAGACGAGAGAAAGGAAAUCUGAAUAUGUCAACUUCAGCUUUGUAAAGGCCACCCUGUUGACAGAGAGGAAAAUCUCUUUGGAAAUAUAGGAGUGUGUGCAGUGUGAGUUAGCCCUGCAGAGUAAAAACACAACACAGUUGUUUUAUAGGGGAGUUCAAAGGGAGCGUUGAAACGACGAGUUUUAACAGGUGGCUUAUUAGUGUCUGGGAUGGAAAGCGGUUUAUAACGAAGAAAUUAGGUCAGCAGAAAAUGUGUUUGGCAGGAUGGAAUCACAUGUCUGAAAGAGGGAGUUGCCUUUUUUGUUGUUGAUAUAGGCCAUCAGUGACAUGGGAAGUGGGAAAGAGGAAGGCGGGGGGAGGGGGGUGAGAGACAGAAACAAACAAAGAGAGAG